GAUGAACGCUGGCGGCGUGCCUAACACAUGCAAGUCGAGCGAUUCUCUUCGGAGAAGAGCGGCGGACGGGUGAGUAACGCGUGGGUAACCUGCCCUGUACACACGGAUAACAUACCGAAAGGUAUGCUAAUACGGGAUAAUAUGCUUUAGUCGCAUGACUGAAGUAUCAAAGCUCCGGCGGUACAGGAUGGACCCGCGUCUGAUUAGCUAGUUGGUAAGGUAACGGCUUACCAAGGCGACGAUCAGUAGCCGACCUGAGAGGGUGAUCGGCCACAUUGGAACUGAGACACGGUCCAAACUCCUACGGGAGGCAGCAGUGGGGAAUAUUGCACAAUGGGCGAAAGCCUAAUGCAGCAACGCCGCGUGAGCGAUGAAGGCCUUCGGGUCGUAAAGCUCUGUCCUCAAGGAAGAUAAUGACGGUACUUGAGGAGGAAGCCCCGGCUAACUACGUGCCAGCCGCCGCGGUAA
rnacentral:rRNA from 1 species